UCCUGACUGACCGAUAGUGAACCAGUACCGUGAGGGAAAGGCGAAAAGAACCCCGGCGAGGGGAGUGAAAAAGAACCUGAAACCGUGUACGUACAAGCAGUGGGAGCACGCUUAGGCGUGUGACUGCGUACCUUUUGUAUAAUGGGUCAGCGACUUAUAUUCUGUAGCAAGGUUAACCGAAUAGGGGAGCCGAAGGGAAACCGAGUCUUAACUGGGCGUUAAGUUGCAGGGUAUAGACCCGAAACCCGGUGAUCUAGCCAUGGGCAGGUUGAAGGUUGGGUAACACUAACUGGAGGACCGAACCGACUAAUGUUGAAAAAUUAGCGGAUGACUUGUGGCUGGGGGUGAAAGGCCAAUCAAACCGGGAGAUAGCUGGUUCUCCCCGAAAGCUAUUUAGGUAGCGCCUCGUGAAUUCAUCUCCGGGGGUAGAGCACUGUUUCGGCAAGGGGGUCAUCCCGACUUACCAACCCGAUGCAAACUGCGAAUACCGGAGAAUGUUAUCACGGGAGACACACGGCGGGUGCUAACGUCCGUCGUGAAGAGGGAAACAACCCAGACCGCCAGCUAAGGUCCCAAAGUCAUGGUUAAGUGGGAAACGAUGUGGGAAGGCCCAGACAGCCAGGAUGUUGGCUUAGAAGCAGCCAUCAUUUAAAGAAAGCGUAAUAGCUCACUGGUCGAGUCGGCCUGCGCGGAAGAUGUAACGGGGCUAAACCAUGCACCGAAGCUGCGGCAGCGACGCUUAUGCGUUGUUGGGUAGGGGAGCGUUCUGUAAGCCUGCGAAGGUGUGCUGUGAGGC
rnacentral:rRNA from 1 species